GUACUUGCUUUGGCAGCACAUAUACUCAAAUUGGAAUGAUAUGGAGAUUAGCAUGGCCCCUGAGCAAGGAUGACAUGCAAAUUUAUGAAGCAUUUCACAUUUCU